UAUCUUUACAACAAAUUGCAGAGUGUCAUGUCUCACUAGGAUGACAAUUUUUUAGAGUAAAGAAUAACAUAAUUUUCUUGCACUCUAAAAUGUGUACGAUAAUUGAACAAUAUCAUACAGUGGCAGGGAUUUUUAUUACUCUUGCAAAUUGUAUGAAACAAAAAUUAUUUUUGGAAAAAUACAUUGUGAUUCAUAUAUUGUGACUACUAUAUUGUGAUUGUUGCAUAAAACCUGUAUUGUUCCUGCAGUCCUAAUAUUUCAUCAUAUAUGUUAUUAUGUUUAUAUGUAACUUUAAACUUUUUAUUUAUGGUUUUCAUUAUCAUUUUACAAGCAUUGAUGCAUCUGACAGCUUCCAAAGGCUUGGAAAGUAGGUUAAUGAUGCAGCUAUAGACAACCCCAUCUUAUGCAUGUUAUGAGAAGUUAAAAGUGUUUAACAACUACUCCAGGCUUUUUCUUUGCAAGAAGGGAUAUUGAUAGAGGGAAGGAGAUCAGAUAUGACUAUGGUGAUCCCCAUGCCCAAUGGACAAUCUUCCUUGGAGUUCAUCACUCAUCAGGAAGCAUUUUGGAGGCAAACCCUGUUGCAGCAUUUCUACAUGUUCCACAGAUUGUGCAGACUAGUCAGGACCUUGUAAAUUCACAUGUUCAACAGCUUAGGCAAUUUAGUACAGAGUGGAUUAUUGAGGCAGACCCUGAUGGAAAACUUGCACAUGUUCCACAAACCAGUGAAGACCAUUUUGCAGAAUAUAAACUUCUUCCGCAGAUAAGCCAAGACCCUAAUGGUGUUCAUGUGUGUGUGGUUAAUUAUUUGCUCUGAAGCUGAUAUGUGGACUGAAUAUAAAACUGUCUUUUUCUACAGUUAAGUCCAUCUUAAUCUGAAAAUACUACCGGUACAUUUUGAAUUAUGCUUUAUUAUGCAGAAAAAAAAAUAAUUAGUUUCAAAUAUGAAAAGUCUGUUGAUACACUGCUUUGCAAUUCCAAAAGUGAUAAUGUGAUAAGUUUUGAUGUGAAUAUGUGACAUGUGCCAUUAUCAAUUUUCAUAAAUAAAAUCAAAUACAAA